rfam:Selaginella moellendorffii unplaced genomic scaffold SELMOscaffold_41, whole genome shotgun sequence.
GCACUUGUAGCUCACUGGAUAAAGCAUCUAUUUCUGGAGCAGAAAGUCACAGGUUCGAACCCUGUCCAGCGCG